GACGUGCCCGAAAACAUUUGUAUUUGUAAAAAGCAAACCGACGAGCGGAUAAGGCGGAAUACCUGAAGAGCAGCAGCGAAAAACACGAAAAGCCAGAAACAGAAACCAAAAACCCAAACCGAAACAACUCGAACUUCGUGUGCAGUGUGGCAAACUCAAAAAGAAACUGAAACAGAUAACAUAAGAAACCGAAAGAAGCAGCAGCAGCGAAUCGAAGCGAAAAAAAAAACAGAGCAAAUUGAAAGAAGCACAAAACAUAACACAACAAAUUUAAAUAAAAUCCAACGCAAGCAGCGACAGAAAAGUUAUUCCGGAAAACGCGCGGAAAAGUGCAUUUCGAAUUUCAUUAAUUUUUUUUCGAGUGAAAGUUGGGCGCCCCAGGCCCAACAACGCCCACAAUGAACCGUUCGAACAGCUUCGUCAGCUCGCUGAAAUGGUGGCCACUGCAGGGUCACAACAACCAGCCGGUGGCGCCACCUGCCGGCGGCAACGGCGGCUACUCCCAAUCGGCGCCCAGCUCGCCCACCUCCAAUUGGCCACCGCCACUGCAGCAGCAUCAGAAUCCCACAGCCGGCACCGCCCACCGCCUACUGCCGCCCAGCGGGCAAAAGAAUGGGAUUGCUGGCGGCAACGUGGGCGCCACAUUCGGCAGCAGUGUGGCGGUGCAAAAGCUGCGCGAAUCCAAGUGGUUCAAGCCCGAGGAGCAGCGCAUCUUUUGCGCCGUCGUCGAGUGCGGCUUCGUGGUCGAGAUCCGCAGCAGCGCCGCAGCCGAGGCGGCCGCAGCCAACGCAGCAGCAGCGGCCGCAGCAGCCGACACCGGUGACAACGACCUCGACGUGGACGCCCUGGAGGAGCUCGACUGCCCACUGACCAACCACCCAUCGCCGCCGCAUCGCAAUCACAGCCACGGCCAAAUCCAAAACCAAUCCCAGCGGCUGGUCAUCCCGCGCAACGGGAGCAGUUUCCUGGAGACGCAGGACGAGAACGAGACGCCAGUCGCCUCCUGGUAUGGAAUCGUGCUCUGCAAGGUGGCCAAAGACAAUAAACCCAAGCCGGAGACCAUUGAGAUAUUUUCUGUGAAAAUACGUGAGAAUGGCACAUACAAGUUGAUCAAGAUGCAGCUGGCGGAUAUCUGGAGUCACGGAUGGGAGCUGCGCAUCAACAACUUUGCCGACAAGGAGAAGGUGCCGCACAACGAGAAGGACAUUCGCAAUCAGGUGUCGGUGGCGCGCAAAGCCAAGCAGAGUCUGUGGAACAACAAUAAGCAUUUCGUGUACUGGUGCCGCUACGGAAGUCGUCAGCAGGAUCUGCGGAAGCGACAGGUAACGACGAGUGCCAAUCACGUGCUGCUGCACCUGAUCAAUUGAUAAGUCGAGCCGAGGAGUCAAGCAAAUGGCCGAGGAGAAAAUGAAAUGAGAAAUAGGAGCGUUUGAAGCGCCGACACUGAAACCCAUCCUUUAUCCCGCUCCUGCUCCUGCUACUGCACCAUCCCACCAGCUUAUCCCGCCACCCAAAAGUUGCAGCAGCAGCAAAAAAGAAAGAAUGAAAAAAACCCAAAGCAAUGUAAAACCAUGUAAAACCACACAUCAUACCGACCAAGUCAUCAUACAUAUUCAUUACUAGUACGCAACGUGGACUAAAAACGAACUGAGGGAACCGGAAAAAAAGAACCAUUAACUUUUCUAGGGCCCCGACCUAUGUAUCUAUCUAUGCACCAUCAUCAUUAUCAUUAUCAUCCAAACAACCGAUUCACGCUUGCUUUGCUCAUACAAAUUCGCCCAAAUGAAAGAAAACCCUGAGAAUUUUGCCCUUGCAACUCGAUCGAUCAUCUAUUCUAUCGAACUGAAGGCAUUGCUAGAUGCUAGAUGCUAGCCUCUAGAUUCUAGACUCUAGACUUUGUAUAUACUUUUCUGUGAGACUGCAAAAAUUGUCCAUUCAAUGUUGAUUUACCAUUUUCGUCAAGAGGCUCUUUCUUGAUUUUCUCUAUCUCUCAAUCAAUUGCAGUUAGAUUUUCCGGCAUCAAGGACCCAAGGACAUUGAGUUCGCCUGCCUGUCGGGUUGCUCUCAAUGCCUGGGUAAAUUGUACUGGACUAUCUGGCGAGUGAAAUGCGAGAUUGGCAAGAUCAGAGAAGUGGGCCAUGACUGCCCCACAUUUGUGGCAUCUAAACAGAAACCCAAAACUUCCCAUUCUUGCGGCAUUUAUAUGUAUGAUGUAUGUAUAUAGCCAUAGAUUCCUGCCAGCGCCAGCCAGCUCAUCGCCACCAGAGACAUGUCGGAGUGCGUGAAGUGGGGCAGCGUGGGCAUGAAUGCGGGCAUGCUGCUGGUGCUCAAUAAUCGGCAGAAAUGCCAUUCCCACUCCAAGUAGAACGAACGAUAAGUCAAGUAUUAAUGUAUUUAAAUUCGGAUGAUAAGAUAAUUUAUGGUAUGGCUUAAGAGCACGAGCACCAAGGGCGGUGGACCUUAAACCCUAAAUGCAAAUGAGUUGGCCAGGAAAAUUCAAAUCAGGGCGUGGGCUUUUUUUUGGCAGUAUUAAUUGUAGUAAUAUUGAUUAUGAUAAUGGCAAUUUAGAGCAAAGUCCGCGAAUCAUGCCUCACAAUAUGCGUCACAGUCACAAAGAACACACCCCCGCCCACAAAUCUAUGACCAUAUGUAUAUAUGCAUAUAUGUAUGAUGAACCAGCGGUUGCAACUCCGCGGCGAGUUGCAAUUUUGCAAUUUAUAGAAAAUACUUUUGUAUUUGCUAAACAAAGAUUGUGUAUAAUGAUGACACAGAACGAGAGAGAGAGACACACACACACACACACACACUGUGAAAUUCGAAAAGACUUAUUAAAUAUUUGUUUGUUUUUUUUUUUCGUCCUAACUUUUUGUUUUCCAUGUGAUUGAUUAUAUAUAUUUAUAUACAUUGUGAAAAUGGCACAAAGCAUCUUAUGCAAGGCAGCCUCUUUUUUGUUUUCUUUGUUAUUUAAGCGUAAUUAAGUAAUACCCAUUAAAAAAAACACAAAUAUAUUUAUAUAUAUAUAUAUAUCGAGCGACAGCUCCGCGUAGCCAGCUUAAUAAUUUAACAAUCUAGCAUUGUAAAACAAUCAAAAACAUUCGAAAUGUUUCGUUAUGUAUUUAGCCUGUCCAAAUGACCGACCGACCGACGAAUUAAGUUAAACAGCGACUAAGACGACGACUUAGAAACAGAAACAGAAACAAAAACAUAAAACAGAAGCUCCUCCAGAAAUUCGAAGCAAAAAUAAAUAUUUUUGUACACAAGGAACUGAAAUGGACGCUCCACGGAUUCAAAUACGUAAAAAUCGAAAUCAAAGAGGAGUUCGCAUC